rnacentral:rRNA from 1 species
AGAGGGUGCAAGCGUUAAUCGGAAUUACUGGGCGUAAAGCGCGCGUAGGCGGAUAUUUAAGUCGGAUGUGAAAGCCCUGGGCUUAACCUGGGAAUUGCAUUCGAUACUGGGUAUCUAGAGUAUGGUAGAGGAAAGUGGAAUUCCCGGUGUAGCGGUGAAAUGCGCAGAUAUCGGGAGGAACACCAGUGGCGAAGGCGGCUUUCUGGACCAAUACUGACGCUGAGGUGCGAAAGCGUGGGGAGCAAACAGGGAUUAGAGACCCUGGUAGUCCACGCCGUCAACGAUGAGAACUAGGCGUUGGGGAGCUUUGACUCCCUUAGUGCCGUAGCUAACGCGAUAAGUUCUCCGCCUGGGGAGUACGGCCGCAAGGUUA